rnacentral:rRNA from 1 species
GUCGAGCGGACAGAUGGGAGCUUGCUCCCUGAUGUUAGCGGCGGACGUGGUGAGUAACACGUGGGUAACCUGCCUGUAAGACUGGGAUAACUCCGGGAAACCGGGGCUAAUACCGGAUGGUUGUUUGAACCGCAUGGUUCAGACAUAAAAGGUGGCUUCGGCUACCACUUACAGAUGGACCCGCGGCGCAUUAGCUAGUUGGUGAGGUAACGGCUCACCAAGGCAACGAUGCGUAGCCGACCUGAGAGGGUGAUCGGCCACACUGGGACUGAGACACGGCCCAGACUCCUACGGGAGGCAGCAGUAGGGAAUCUUCCGCAAUGGACGAAAGUCUGACGGAGCAACGCCGCGUGAGUGAUGAAGGUUUUCGGAUCGUAAAGCUCUGUUGUUAGGGAAGAACAAGUGCCGUUCAAAUAGGGCGGCACCUUGACGGUACCUAACCAGAAAGCCACGGCUAACUACGUGCCAGCAGCCGCGGUAAUACGUAGGUGGCAAGCGUUGUCCGGAAUUAUUGGGCGUAAAGGGCUCGCAGGCGGUUUCUUAAGUCUGAUGUGAAAGCCCCCGGCUCAACCGGGGAGGGUCAUUGGAAACUGGGGAACUUGAGUGCAGAAGAGGAGAGUGGAAUUCCACGUGUAGCGGUGAAAUGCGUAGAGAUGUGGAGGAACACCAGUGGCGAAGGCGACUCUCUGGUCUGUAACUGACGCUGAGGAGCGAAAGCGUGGGGAGCGAACAGGAUUAGAUACCCUGGUAGUCCACGCCGUAAACGAUGAGUGCUAAGUGUUAGGGGGUUUCCGCCCCUUAGUGCUGCAGCUAACGCAUUAAGCACUCCGCCUGGGGAGUACGGUCGCAAGACUGAAACUCAAAGGAAUUGACGGGGG